CGCGUGGGAACGUGCCCAAAGGUAUGGAAUAGCCCUGGGAAACUGGGAGUAAUGCCAUAUGUGCCUCGUGAGAGGGAAAGAUUUAUCGCCUUUGGAUCGGCCCGCGUUGGAUUAGGUAGUUGGUGGGGUAACGGCCUACCAAGCCGACGAUCAAUAGCUGGUCUGAGAGGAUGAUCAGCCACACUGGGACUGAGACACGGCCCAGACUCCUACGGGAGGCAGCAGUGGGGAAUAUUGGACAAUGGGGGCAACCCUGAUCCAGCCAUGCCGCGUGAGUGAUGAAGGCCCUAGGGUUGUAAA
rnacentral:rRNA from 1 species